AAGGGAACGCUGGUCCAACCAGCAUCCUCCAACCCAAUGUGUACCCGCCUUGUUGCCUCGGCGUGCCUGCGUCGUCCGCGGCGCUGCCGGCUCCGGCUGGAUAGCGCACGCCAGAGGGAUUUCAAACUCCAGCUUUAACGAGUGCGGUCUGAGCUAUAAUCAAAUAAGUUA
rnacentral:misc_RNA from 1 species